UAUACUUUGGCAUCUUGUAUGAAGCUCCGGCGGGCAGGAUGAGCCCGCGGCCUAUUAUACUUGUUGGUGAGGUAAUGGCUCACCAAGGCGACGACGGUUUAGCCGGCCUGAGAGGGCGACCGGCCACUUUUUUACUGAGACCCGGCCCAGACCCCUACGGGAGGCUGCAGUUCUUUAGAUUCUACUAUGUUUGUAUGUCUUUUGCAACACCGCCC
rnacentral:rRNA from 1 species